UUCUAGCAUUUCCCACGUUCAUAUUGAUGUUAAUGAAUCUAGAUAGAUGUACAUGUCUAGAUUCAUUAACAUCAAUAUGAAUGUGCGACAUG
rnacentral:pre_miRNA from 1 species